rnacentral:rRNA from 1 species
GUCGACGGCAGCACGGGAGCAAUCCUGGUGGCGAGUGGCGAACGGGUGAGUAAUAUAUCGGAACGUGCCCAGUCGUGGGGGAUAACGUAGAGAAAUUUACGCUAAUACCGCAUACGAUCUAAGGAUGAAAGCGGGGGACCGUAAGGCCUCGCGCGAUUGGAGCGGCUGAUAUCAGAUUAGGUUGUUGGUGAGGUAAAAGCUCACCAAGCCGACGAUCUGUAGCUGGUUUGAGAGAACGACCAGCCACACUGGGACUGAGACACGGCCCAGACUCCUACGGGAGGCAGCAGUGGGGAAUUUUGGACAAUGGGCGAAAGCCUGAUCCAGCAAUGCCGCGUGCAGGAAGAAGGCCUUCGGGUUGUAAACUGCUUUUGUACGGAACGAAAAGGUCUGCCCUAAUACGGCGGGCCCAUGACGGUACCGUAAGAAUAAGCACCGGCUAACUACGUGCCAGCAGCCGCGGUAAUACGUAGGGUGCGAGCGUUAAUCGGAAUUACUGGGCGUAAAGCGUGCGCAGGCGGUUAUGUAAGACAGUUGUGAAAUCCCCGGGCUCAACCUGGGAAUUGCAUCUGUGACUGCAUAGCUAGAGUACGGUAGAGGGGGAUGGAAUUCCGCGUGUAGCAGUGAAAUGCGUAGAUAUGCGGAGGAACACCGAUGGCGAAGGCAAUCCCCUGGACCUGUACUGACGCUCAUGCACGAA